AAGAGUUUGAUCAUGGCUCAGAGCGAACGCUGGCGGCAGGCCUAACACAUGCAAGUCGAACGGACCCUUCGGGGUUAGUGGCGGACGGGUGAGUAACACGUGGGAACGUGCCUUUAGGUUCGGAAUAGCUCCUGGAAACGGGUGGUAAUGCCGAAUGUGCCCUUCGGGGGAAAGAUUUAUCGCCUUUAGAGCGGCCCGCGUCUGAUUAGCUAGUUGGUGAGGUAAUGGCUCACCAAGGCGACGAUCAGUAGCUGGUCUGAGAGGAUGACCAGCCACAUUGGGACUGAGACACGGCCCAAACUCCUACGGGAGGCAGCAGUGGGGAAUCUUGCGCAAUGGGCGAAAGCCUGACGCAGCCAUGCCGCGUGAAUGAUGAAGGUCUUAGGAUUGUAAAAUUCUUCACCGGGGACGAUAAGACGUA
rnacentral:rRNA from 1 species